rnacentral:rRNA from 1 species
UACGUAGGGCGCAAGCGUUUGUCCGGAAUUAUUGGGCGUAAAGAGCUUGUAGGCGGUUUGUCGCGUCUGCUGUGAAAUUUCGGGGCUCAACCCCGAACUUGCAGUGGGUACGGGCAGACUAGAGUGUGGUAGGGGAGACUGGAAUUCCUGGUGUAGCGGUGAAAUGCGCAGAUAUCAGGAGGAACACCGAUGGCGAAGGCAGGUCUCUGGGCCACUACUGACGCUGAGAAGCGAAAGCAUGGGGAGCGAACGGG